UCACUCCUCUGCCUCUGCAAGAGAAAAGCCCAAGGGCCUAGGUAAACAAUGGACAGCAUCCUGGAUGAUGAUGCAAUUUUAAGCCUGAAAAGAAUAUUUGGUCUUCAAUCUUGGCAAGCAUACCUGUAAAGUAGAUGGUAAGGCUGCUGAUGAGAACCAUUUGAGUAAUCAAGUCAUAGCUGGAAUGUGACUGCCUGGCUGAUCUUCCAAGGUCCCCUUGCAUCUAUGUGUGGCCUUAUGAAUCAAUCCUUGCCAAUGGAAAGUGAAUGGAAGUGAUGUGUGUCAGUCCCAGGACUGACCAUAGACCUCCUGCAUGUGCUCCUUUAUGCUAUUUCUUCAGUUCAGGGUGGGAAUGGGAAUGCCCAGAGCAACUUUGGAAGCUAUAUGCUGAGGAUGCUAGAACUGCCAUCAGCCUGGGACCCUGAACAACUGUAUGAAACCAGGUACCUGUGGGUGGGAAAAAAACUGGCUGGAACUAUUAGAUGAAA
rnacentral:lncRNA from 1 species